rnacentral:misc_RNA from 1 species
ACAAGUGUGGGAUGCUUCGUGCACCGAGUCACCCUUAUUUUUUGUAGCUGACUUUGGAAUACAUUGUAUAACGGGAAAAUGAAAAGUAGGUCUAAACCAUGGCAUUCAAAGGGGGCCCUUUCUGGAUGAAGAGUUGAACUGGUUUGUUUGGAAAAAGAAAUAAUUCUUUACUUUAGAAUCUAUGUGUCCAAGAAUGAGUUAUCUCUCUUUGGAACCUACCAGACAUGGAAUGGAUAAAGUAGAAAUAGUUCGGUGCUGCUUCUAUAAUCUAUCUCCAAAAUUUCUUUGUAUGCUUUUCCAAUCUUGUCUUCAAUGUAUAUUUCUAAAGGAGGAUAACAGAAGGACCAGAUGAUGAGUGCUAUGUUGGAGAGUUUGAAAGGAGAGGAGAGGUAGAAAUAUGAAUUGGUUAUCAUCUCUCUAUUGUUUGGAUGUAAAGUGCAACGGAGUGAAAAUCAUCAAUUAGUGAGUAAUUGAAAAUUAUUUUCUUGAGAGGAUAGGAAGAAAAGAAGGGUAGACCUACAUUGACUUGAAGGAGGGUAGUACAACAUGACCUA